ACUCCUACGGGAGGCAGCAGUAAGGGAUAUUGGUCAAUGGGGGGAACCCUGAACCAGCCAUGCCGCGUGAGGGAAUAAGGCCCUACGGGUCGUAAACCUCUUUUGCCCGGGGACAACACGGCGCACGUGAUGCGCCGACGAGGGUACCGGGCGAAUAAGCAUCGGCUAACUCCGUGCCAGCAGCCGCGGUA
rnacentral:rRNA from 1 species